UAGAGUUAAUUGUUGAAUAUAGUCCGUUCAUACACACAAAAAUACUCCUCAAAUCUCGAUAUGAUGAUGUUCUUUUCAAAGCUAGUUCUUCUGAUUUCCCUUAUGUUAAUCGCAACUGGUAACUCUCUCUCCCCUUAACUUAUGCAAAAUAAAUACGACGAUCCAGUUUUUAAUUUUUAUUAUACUCUAAGUUGCUAUAAAAAUAAAUUAUUGCAGGUCCAAUGGUGGAUGCAAAGAAACCACUUCCAUUUUGCGAUGUUACUGCAGAUUGCCUCCCAAUAUGUCAAAAAUUCCAUUGUUUUAUUUGUGGCUGUAGUGCUGGAAUAUGCGUUCGUGGCUGCCCCCCACCCUCAAGGAAACUACUCUCUAUUCAUUCCAACAAUCCAAAUAAUUGAUUAAUUUGUUAUAAUCCAACUUAUUUUCUAAUAAAAAUAAGAAAAUAAGUUGUUUUUUUUACAUCUAUAUAUAAUAUCAAUGAAUAAAAGAUCAAAGUUA
rnacentral:lncRNA from 1 species